UUGCUGACACACUGGUUUAAGUGGUCACUUGUGUUGACGUUUGGGCCAGGGGUCUGCAGAU
ensembl:miRNA